rnacentral:lncRNA from 1 species
AUGUCCCCAAACAUCCCCAAUGUCCCCAAUGUGUCCAAUGUCCCAAAUGUCCCCAAAGGUCCCAAACAUCCCCAAUGUCCCAAAUGUCCCAAAUCUCCCAAAAUGUCCCAAAUGUCCCAAAUGUCCCAAAUCUCCCAAAUCUCCCAAAAUGUCCCCAAUGUCCCAAAUCUCCCAAAUGUUCCGAAUCUCCCCAAUGUCCCCAACAUCCCCAAUGUCCCAAAUGUCCCAAAUCUCCCAAAUCUCCCAAAAUGUCCCAAAUGUCCCAAAUCUCCCAAAAUGUCCCAAAAUGUCCCCAAAUCUCCGCAGGAUCUCGGACCGGGGCGGUGGCAUCCCCCACGAGCUGCUGGACAAGGUGACCGAGUACCACUUCAGCACGGCCGAGGCCAGCGCGCAGGACCCGCGCCUGGGGGGGCCCUUCCGCGGCCUGAUGGACGCCAGCGGCCAGCCGGGGCCCAUGCACGGGUCAGGGACCCCUCCCCACAUCAGGGACCCCCUCCCCAAAUCGGGGAAACCCACCGAAAAUUGGGGGAUGUUUAUCGGAAAUUGGGGACAUCCCCUCAAAAUGGCGGAGAGCGCCCAGGGUUGGGUUUUGGGGGGGAUUUGGGGAGGAUUUGGGGGGGAUUUUGGGGUUUGAGGACACCCCAGGGACCCCUCCCCAAAUUGGGGACCCCCUCCCCAAAUCGGGGAAAUCCACCAAAAAUUGGGGGACGUUUAUCGGAAAUUUGGGGACGUUUAUCGGAAAUUUGGGACAUCCCCUCAAAAUGGCGGAGAGCGCUCGGGGUUGGGUUUUGGGGGGGAUUUGGGGAGGAUUUGGGAGGGAUUUGGGGGUUUGAGGGGAGCCCAGGGACCCCUCCCCAAAUCGGGGACCCCCUCCCCAAAAUGGGGACCCCCUCCCCAAAUCGGGGAAAUCCAGCGAAAAUUUGGGGACGUUUAUCGGAAAUUGGGGACAUCCUUUCAAAAUGGCGGAGAGUGCCCGAGGUUGGGUUUGGGGGGGAUUUGGGGGGGAUUUUGGGGUUUGAGGGACCCCAGGGACCCCUCCCCAAAUCGAGGACAGCCCCCGAAAAUUUGGGGAAAUCCACCGAAAAUUUGGGGGAUGUUUAUCGGAAAUUUGGG